AGCGAACGCUGGCGGCAGGCCUAACACAUGCAAGUCGAACGGAUCCUUCGGGAUUAGUGGCGGACGGGUGAGUAACACGUGGGAACGUGCCCUUUGGUUCGGAACAACUCAGGGAAACUUGAGCUAAUACCGGAUGUGCCCUUCGGGGGAAAGAUUUAUCGCCAUUGGAGCGGCCCGCGUCUGAUUAGCUAGUUGGUGAGGUAAAGGCUCACCAAGGCGACGAUCAGUAGCUGGUCUGAGAGGAUGAUCAGCCACAUUGGGACUGAGACACGGCCCAAACUCAGACGGGGGGCAGCAGUGGGGAAUCUUGCGCGAUGGGGGAAAGCCUGACGCAGCCAUGCCGCGUGAAUGAUGAGGGUCUUAGGAUUGUAAAAUUCUUUCACCGGGGACGAUAAUGACGGUACCCGGAGAAGAAGCCCCGGCUAACUUCGUGCCAGCCGCCGCGGUAAGAC
rnacentral:rRNA from 1 species